CGGGCGGACGGGUGAGUAACGCGUAGGCAACCUGCCCUUUGCAGAGGGAUAGCCUCGGGAAACCGGGAUUAAAACCUCAUGACACCUCUUAAAGACAUCUUUGAGAGGUCAAAGAUUUAUCGGCAGAGGAUGGGCCUGCGUCUGAUUAGCUAGUUGGUGGGGUAACGGCCUACCAAGGCGACGAUCAGUAGCCGACCUGAGAGGGUGAUCGGCCACAUUGGAACUGAGACACGGUCCAA
rnacentral:rRNA from 1 species